GUGUGUUUCAGGGAUGUCUACCGUAAAGGUGCAUGAGUGGUGUUUGGUUUGUUACGGGUGGUUGGCUCUUUGCUUGCGCAACAACUUCCACUUGGCAUACCUCUUCAGUCUUGUGUCAAUGUUUGUAUUGCAUUGAAUGCACGCUGGGUUUGCUGUGUUGCAUGCCUAAUUGAUGGUAUCAUUUGAUGAAUUGAAGUUCUUUUUCGUCUUGUGUUGCACAUGCAAUGUGAGAUGAACCUUGAAGCAAGCUUUGUGAUCCACUCUUUUGAUGCACAUGCAUUGAUUUGGUGGCCCAUUGGUUGUUGCUUGGUCUCAUGGAUAUGGAACCUGGUGUGGGCAUUAUGAAUUCCUUGUUUGCCCUAGUUUAGCUUUUCAAAUACGAGUGUCUAUCAUGUUUUCACGUGGUAGGAUACAUCGAAUA
rnacentral:misc_RNA from 1 species